ensembl:lncRNA
GCAGCCAAUCAGCACUUCAGCCAAAACCACACAACUUUCAGCUUUGGCAGUCGUCAUGUUUCCUGUUCUGAAUUGAAGCCCUUCUGCUGUUCGAGUAGUAUCAGAGUUUUAUUUAGUUUUUCGCAGCAUAUCUAGCGUUGGAAUAUCAGAGUCUUUCAGUUCUCAGAAUUGAAGCCAUUUUGCUGUUUAAUGCGAUUCUGUGCCACUUCUGAAGCUCAGACAGCGCAACAUCAGCAGAGAUCUCAGAGUUGUGAUGGAGGUUUCUUCUCUUCAGCUCAACACAAGCUGGGAUGUAGAAAUGAAAUAACGCAUACAGUAAACUCCUGCAACAUCAGAAACCACAGACCAGCAAAAAGCAACAGGACAGAGAGAAAAAUGGAGGCCAGAAAUGAAACACAAACCAGUGAAUCACAAGAGAAAAACAGACACUUGUUAGAUGUGACAGUAUGAAGAAAUUAAAGCCAGACUGUAAAUGUUUCUUCAUUAUAUGACUUUAAUGUCUUUAGUUUUGCUAGAUCAGAUUGACUUCAGACUUUCUGCACUAACUGUUGAAGCUUUUCACAGCUGUGUGAUUGUGUAAUUGACAGGAUGUUUCAAAUUGAGAACUAUAUCCUAUAAAUUAAUAAUAACAAUGUGUAUGUGUUUUUCUAGUAUGAUCUAGAAGGGCCUUUAAACCCUCGUUCUGAUUUCAAUAGUGAGGUGACAUUCUUGUCAAACCCUUCAUCACUGACGUCCAUCGGCAGCCACCGAAGACCUAAACAUCAUCAUCAUCAGACUAUGGUUUGUUCUCCUCUUUUUAUUUUCCAAGAGCGCUUUGCAAAUUAGUUGGCUGGCUACUAGCAAACUUAAAACAACACUUUGCUGGAUCCUUGUGUAUCUAAUCUAAUAUGAUUUAGCAUGAAGUUCUUUCUUCGUGUUUACAACCCGAAUUCCGGAAAUGUUGGGACGUUUUUUAAAUUUAAAUAAAAUGUAAACUAAAAGACUUUCA